rnacentral:lncRNA from 1 species
GAGCAAGCCAGGGAAAACAAGCCAGUAAGUAACAUCCCUCCAUGGCCUCUGCAUCAACUCCUGCUUCCUCACCUGCUUGAGUUCCAGUCCUGACUUCCUUUGGUGAAGACCAGCAAUGUGGAAGUUGAUCCUAACAAGGAGAAGAGAUGUCAUCACUAAUGUGAGGCAUAAAAGACAGGAGCCACAUAGUCUGGUCCACGAAGAGCAAAAGGCUUAGUAGGCAAGAGAAAACAUCUGGCCACUGAAAUGUGAAUCUAUGAACCAAAGAAAUCUCAAGGACCCAUGAGAACAGUGCACAUCAGGGUUCAGGAAAUGGCCUUUCAAUAUUUUCAAGAAGCUGAAUGUUCCCUCUUGCUAAAAAAGACCCAUUACCCAAUUUUUGAGUGUGCCUUGGAGGAAUGUAUGAUGUCUUCUGUAAAAAUUAUUUGACAGAUAUUCAAAAAACACUUCAUAUGCCCUGGCACAAGCCAGGCACUGAGCACAAAGUGCAUACUGGCCUUGUCCUCUUCUGCCCCAAAAUCUCACAAUGGGACUUGUGAUACAUUUUCCACAAGAAAACAAUUAGAGCAGAAAGUCAAUGAAUAGCUAAGAGGGAGGGAACCCAAAGAAGGGAAUAGCUAACUGUUGAGGAAAAAGAAGUUGUCACCAAGGAGUGAAUUUGUAUGGGACAAUUAUGGACAACUUAAACUUUGCCACAAAGAAUCAUACUUUUAACAUUGAAGAUGGCAGGACCUGUGAACUCCUGUGGCCCUUGGCAAGGCAAAUCAGUUCAUCAUCCUAUCUGUAUUUUCAUCAGAUAUCUAAAGCUUUACUUAGUUAUAAUUUCUUCUUCAAUCAGUUGAUACAAUAUACAUAAUCAUAAACAGUAGAAGAUCAGAAGUCAUCAUUAAAAUGGAUAGGGUAGGAAUCAGGAAGAACAGUGUAUAUGACAUUACCAUAACUCUUGUUUUUGAAGUGAAGUACAUUCUGUCUGAAGAAAAAAAGGUCAUAAAAACAUCCAAGGAUGAGAGUUGAGAUUGUAGAAGGGAUCAGAAGCCAGGUGAUAAAAGUUGGUUGAAUGCUAUAAGCUAUACCUUACUCAUAGUACAGUCCAUAAGAUUUGAUGAUGAAGAAGGCAUCACAACAGUCAAUUCUCAAACAGAUAGUGAGAAAUAAAAACAUGUUAUGCCUCUUCAUACACAAGCACCUUUGCAUCUUCAGGCAUUUUCCAGCCUUUUUGGAAGAAUUGCCUACAAUUUUUAUAUCACAACCUAAUCUCAUGUAAAAGAGUAUCUCACAAACUUAAAAUCCUAUGUGAGCCUCAGAACAGUGUGUGUGACAACACCAAAACUCUUGUGUGACCCCAAUCCAUAGCUAAAAUCCGUCAGGCUUAAUAGUUUGGAAUGUCUAAAUUAGAAACACCUAAUUCUUGUUGCUUUAACAAAAAUGAAAAAUGCUAAGAAAAUACUUGUGGACAACUGUAAAAGCUUAAAGUUUACGUUCAGAAUCUGUGGGUGGAAGAACUGAAUGGCUCAGGGUAAAGAAGAAAACAUUUUUACAAAAUGAAAGUGGACUCAUGUAUUAGCUGUGGAACUUCAGCAAACUUGUUUAAUGGGUCUCUACACUGGAGCAAAUACUGCAAGAACACAUUUGACUGGUAAUGUUAACUGUAGAAAAUUUGCAUAUGAAAUAGAUCAGCUUAUGACCUCAGUGCAGAUGAGAACUGUGUUUCAUCUGAUUUUAAAGUUGAGCUCACUUGCAAAAAGUCAACAGCUCAUAAGGCUAAUACAGAAUGUUUCACUAAAUGGUACAUAUGAGAACAUUUUGCAGGGAACUCCAACAGGGUCCAAGGACCUCCAUCAGGGAUGCCUUUACUCUCUAAGAGCAUUAGUCUCCCAGCUGCAAGCACUGUGAGAAUGUAACUGAUAUUUAUUUGCCAUAAAGAAGCAACUUGUGAUAGAUAAUAUUGGUUAUUAUAUUGUAUCUUUCUCCAAAAGGCUACACGUGUAAGUCUCCAUUCCUAGGUUAAGCAUGAAAUUUUGGAAAGUUAUCGAUACUUUUAGUAGAUGGGUUGUGAUAGGAAAGGGGAAGCUUGGGUCAUGGGACUGCUGUCUUUUUUGUUUCUUUGCAGAUUUGGGUUCUGGCUCACAAAAGGAAAGAAUUUGUUAUCUGAGGCCCAAAGUAUUAAUCUCCCAAUCUUGGAAUAGAGCUAUAAAAUCAUGUGCCCAAGAAAUCUUUGUUUCCUUGUAUAAAACAUAACUUCUUCCAGGAGUCAUUACAGUAAAUAGAAAUUGAAGAAUGCAAAGAUCACCUGCAGAUCUCUACAUGUUACAAGAAUUUCACAUCUUUGUUAUUUAUAUAUUUCUUCCCAGUCUUAGAAGUGGUAUUAAGACCAAUGAUUGUAUGUGGAUAAACUCCGAGGCACAUUGGUACAUCUAAGUUAUCAUUUUAGUCUGAUAAAGUUAAAAUUUUAUCACAUUGAUUGAAAUAAAUGUGUAUAU